rnacentral:rRNA from 1 species
UACAGAGGUCUCAAGCGUUGUUCGGAUUCAUUGGGCGUAAAGGGUGCGUAGGUGGCGCGCUAAGUCAGGUGUGAAAUCUCGGAGCUUAACUUCGAAACUGCAUUCGAUACUGCCGUGCUUGAGGACUGGAGAGGAGACUGGAAUUUACGGUGUAGCGGUGAAAUGCGUAGAUAUCGUAAGGAAGACCAGUGGCGAAGGCGGGUCUCUGGACAGUUCCUGACGCUGAGGCACGAAGGUCAGGGGAGCAAACGGG